AACCCCUAUUGUUAGUUGCCAUCAUUCAGUUGGGCACUCUAGCGAGACUGCCGGUAAUAAACCGGAGGAAGGUGGGGAUGACGUCAAAUCAUCAUGCCCCUUAUGACCUGGGCUACACACGUGCUACAAUGGUUGGUACAACGAGUUGCGAGUCGGUGACGGCGAGCUAAUCUCUUAAAAGCCAAUCUCAGUUCGGAUUGUAGGCUGCAACUCGCCUACAUGAAGUCGGAAUCGCUAGUAAUCGCGGAUCAGCACGCCGCGGUGAAUACGUUCCCGGGCCUU
rnacentral:rRNA from 1 species